rnacentral:tRNA from 1 species
AUUUUCUUAGUACAGUAGUAUAGGUGACUUCCAAUCACCUGGCCUUGGUUAAAAUCCGAGAGAAAAUA